CCAGCUCGCGGCGUCCGGCCAGCUCUGAGAGUGACUUUGGGGUUUCCAGGUCGUCGGAUCGGAGCAACAAAGGCAGCUAUGGAAGUUUGUCAAAGCAGUUUUUCUUCUGGUGACUCAUCAGCAGUGAUGAGGGAGAAGCAAACUUCAAAUGCAAAGUGCACAGUCCAAGGCAGCGUCACGGGGACCCCAGCAGAAGCAGUAGAAGCCGAAAGAGACACCGAGAGAGAAGCAAGAGAAGCAGAAGCUGAGAGAAGGCCGGAAAGCCCAGAGUGAAGAUCUGCUGGGGGCUGGGAGGCCUGCCAGCCUGCCAGGCCCCCAGCACCCCUGCCUGCCACGUACCUGCUGAACCCCAAUAAAAGA